AGAAAACUGACGCCACAGCUGCAUUUUUUGCAUCCCUUGAGGAACCAAAACUCACAAGCUUGGCAGAUGCAGGCAAGAAGCCUCCAAUCGAAAUUCUUCCUCCAGGAAUGCCAACUCUUUCAUCUUCUAUUCUCGGUCCAAAGAAGCCAACUCCUGGAGCACAAGGUGCAUUGCAGCAACCAGCCAAGCAAUUACUGUUGGAAGCACCACCUGCUAAUCCUCAACCACCACCAGAUGGUACACCGACUCAAUCAGAACCAAGUGAACAGACUUCGGAUAGUAAUGCCCCAACUUCAACAACAGCUACCGACACGUCUCCGACUACUCCAGCAGAAAAUGUUCCUACAACUUCAAAUGGUUCAGAGCCAUCUGAUAUUCAAUUAGCGUCCUCCACCACAACACCAG
rnacentral:misc_RNA from 1 species